rnacentral:rRNA from 1 species
CUACGGGUCGCUGCAGUGGGGAAUAUUGGACAAUGGGGGAAACCCUGAUCCAGCAAUGCUGCGUGUGUGAAGAAGGCCUGCGGGUUGUAAAGCACUUUCGGUUGGGAGGACUGCUUCUAGCACUAAUAUUGUUGGAAGUUGACGUUACCUUCAGAAGAAGCACCGGCUAACUCCGUGCCAGCAGCCGCGGUAAUACGGAUGGUGCAAGCGUUAAUCGGAAUUACUGGGCGUAAAGCGCGCGUAGGCGGCUAGAUCAGUCGGGUGUGAAAGCCCCGGGCUUAACCUGGGAACUGCAUCCGAUACUGUAUAGCUUGAGUACAGGAGAGGAGAGUGGAAUUCCACAUGUAGCGGUGAAAUGCGUAGAUAUGUGGAGGAACACCAAUGGCGAAGGCAGCUCUCUGGCCUGAUACUGACGCUGAGGUGCGAAAGCGUGGGGAGCAAACAGGAUUAGAUACCCGAGUAGUC